AAUUUGAGCAGAAGACAAAGGAAGCUAAAUCAAAGGUUUUUGAUGCUACAGGCAAGGUGGCACCUCUGGCCGUGUCUGAUGCAGCUAUGCUAGCUCCUGAAGAAGUAUUUUCUGGUAAAGGUGACAUCAAAGAAGAAACUGAGCUAACAAAGGCAGAUAGAAAGAGGAGAAGGGCAAAGAAAAAAAGACAGUUUAAAGCUGAGUCUGUCAAACGGAUGGCAGUAAAGACACAGCUAAGCACAUUGAAGAAACCCGAAGAUGUUGCAGGGAACGGGGAGUCAUGAAUGACACUGUGAAAC